GAAAGAAAGGUGAAGAAAUGGAGAACAGGAUAAAGGCCUGGAAUCCCUGCUGCUCCAGAAGGAUUUUGUGACCCAUCCUAGUCCAGGGUCAUCUUUGACAUCAACAUGGCCUCCUAGACCUCUGCCCCCACUGCAAUGCCUUUAUCCUAAUGUGCUGCCACAUACUGGGAUCUGAAGAUAAUCUCAUAGCUGUGACUGGCCAGUGAGAAGAAGGAGGAGGAAGGACUUCAAUGACCCAAGAAGACUUGAGAGCAGAGAACAGAGCAGCAUUAGCCUGGCACUUUUCUUUGGUACCAAGUCCCCCUGUCAACCACUGCAGAUACACAGAGAACUUGCCAAGCUGUGAGUCCUCAUGCAUCGGCUGCUGGAUUUCUCCUCCACUGACCAUGGGAAUUUCCAGUUCAGGAGUCUGGUGGUCAUGCUGUCCCAGACGGAGUGAGAGCAGGAGGACCUGAUUACAUUUUUCCGGAAGAGCACUCUCUCAACAAGUCACUUGGCCUGAAUCUGUCUCUGGGUCUGCUUCUAGAGAACCCAACCUAAGAUAAAAGGCAUUCGGGAUCCUCGCCAUGUUUCUGUUUAUCACAUCUAACAAUUUCUCAUCCUCACAAUGACUCUACAAAGUAGGUGCUAUUAUUCCAAUUUUAUGAAUUGGUAUAUUAAGAUUCACCCCCUGGGCCAGAGUCAGCAAAGAGGCAGAUAGAUCCCAGAGAGAACAGAAAUCAACUGCUUAAAUAGUUCCCCAAAAGAAAUUCCCAAAGGCUGCCUUUAAUAGAGAGGUAUCUGGCUAUCCCCCUCUGGGGCCAUCCAUUCUAACUUUCUACAAACUUACCCCUUUAAAGUUGUACAUGAGGACACAAGAUGUAGAUUUUUCAAUCUAUGUUAUAAAGUCAAUGUUCUAAAGCUUUAAAGUUAAUCUUACUCAUUUCUAAUCUCUGGCAUGUGGAACACACUAAAGAUUUUUCAAAUUAAUGCAUGUCUGAGGACUCCAGGAACUAAAUAGGAAAUGUAAUUUCUCCUGGCUUGGAGUCUCCACUAUUGGUACCUUCCAUACAGCUAGAACUCCUGCCCCUGUAGUGAGUUUGUUGACCUGAAUGCUGAUAACAUUUCUACUUCCUCUUCUAGUUGGGUGGGUCAGAACCAACAACAGAUUCAUAAAUAAACAAGGCUAGAAAUCUGAUGCUGAACUCUGAAUGGUUUAGAACUUUCUGGACCAAUCUUCUGGCCUUGAGGUAAGCCUUCAUGUGACUAACAAGAACAGCAAAUAUAUACAGAAUGGGAAACUACAGCACACUUGACAGGGUGGAAGAGAAGUUAAUUGAGCACAAAGUGGAAUUUUCAGUUUAGACUAAGGUGUGUUACAGUCUACUGGUCGGCUGACAUUAAUGAAAGGAGCAACCUAUUAAUGUUGAUAAGUAAAUCUGAGCUUCUCUCUAUAAGGCUACAAUGAGGUCCUACUGUUUGAAUUUCAUAAGUCUCAGUGAUACCUCGAAGGGCUGCCUCUAAAUCAGAUUAGGUGUCUAAAAGCCCUAUGGUCUAGAACAGUGAAGUACACUUAUGAGUGGACUACAAGUAUCUUUAGAGAUAACCCAACACUCUAUCCCAGCCCACCCUCAUAGCUGCCUCUCAGAGCAUCAUAUUUUCCACUGAUGCACUACAGAUUCAUAAAUGUAGUGAAA